CACCCGCCCACGUGGCCAGCGCCCCGCCCUCUGAGUUCCGCCCAACCGGGCAAGACCCGAGCUGCUCCUGAGCGUGCGCAGAGACAAGGAGCGCCUGAGCUCGCAUUGAGUCCGCUGGUUUCCUUCUUGGACCAACAGAACGCGUACGUUGGUGUUCCCGGUUGUCAGUUGUAGAAGAACAGAGAAAUAAAGGACCCUGAGACGUCCGCUGCCGCGGUAGCGGCAUUUUUCUCUUCCUCACAAAACAGUAUUGUAAAAACCUUACUGUUAAGAGUGAUUGGGGUGGUUUGGUUGGGCUAGAGUCAGGACAGAGGUGUCAAGCUGCAACUACAGCAGAUCUGGGACUUAAGGAGUUUGUCUCGGGCUGCUCAGCCUCCCAAGUGCGAGAACUGCAGACGCGAGCCACCACACCUGGCUUUCAAGGUGUCUCAGUUCUCCAGAUAAAACUUCAAGUACUGUAUUAAAUGGAUAUGAAGAGAACAAACAGCCUUGCUUUGUUCCUGAUUUUAGUGGAGUUUCUUAAAGUUUCUAUCCAUUUUUGGAAAAUAAUUUGAGGAGUAUUGGCAUUAACUCUUCUUUGUGCUCUGGGCUUGUUUUGGUUGAUUUUGAUGACUGCUCUUCAGUAGGAAUUAUAAGUCUGUUUCAAAUGUUUACCUUAUUGUCUUAGUCAAAGUUUGUAUUUCUGCACCAAACAUCAUAACUUGGCCUUCUCCCUUGCAGUUUUAAUAUUUUUUCAGUAUGUUUUGUGUUUUUAUUAUUAUAUGCUGAAAGGACUCUCUAUUUUGGUUUGAUCUAUUUCGUGUUCUGUAUGCUUCUUGUAUGCAUCUUCUUCUCUAGGUUGUAAAAUUUUUCUUCUAUGAUUUUGUUCAAUAUAUUUUCUGAAACUUCAAACUGCUUUCUGUCUUAUUAUGAGGCUUCCAGGACCCACAUGCAAUUUAAAUAAGACACAGAG
ensembl:lncRNA LOC102554815 uncharacterized LOC102554815